rnacentral:siRNA from 1 species
UAAUCGCAGGUCAAGUCUUACAAA